GGGGAUGUAUUUCAGUGGUAGAAUGCAUGCUUUGCAUCAAGCAGCCUUUGAGGCUUGUUUCUGAUCUGCAUGAGGUCCGGGGUUCGAUCCCCCGCGUCUCCA